GGCCCUUAAGCUCAGUUGGUUAGAGCGUGCGGCUCAUAAUCGCCCGGUCGCUGGUUCAAGUCCAGCAAGGGCCACCA
rnacentral:tRNA from 1 species